UACGAAGGGGGCUAGCGUUGCUCGGAAUCACUGGGCGUAAAGGGCGCGUAGGCGGGUCUUUAAGUCCGGGGUGAAAUCCUGGAGCUCAACUCCAGAACUGCCUUUGAUACUGAAGAUCUUGAGUUCGGGAGAGGUGAGUGGAACUGCGAGUGUAGAGGUGAAAUUCGUAGAUAUUCGCAAGAACACCAGUGGCGAAGGCGGCUCACUGGCCCGGUACUGACGCUGAGGUGCGAAAGCGUGGGGAGCAAACAGG
rnacentral:rRNA from 1 species